GGAGAGGUGGCCGAGUGGUCGAAGGAGCUCCCCUGCUAAGGGAGUAGAGGUCAAAAGCUUCUCGUGGGUUCGAAUCCCAUCCUCUCCGCCA
rnacentral:tRNA from 1 species